rnacentral:rRNA from 1 species
UACGUAGGGUGCGAGCGUUGUCCGGAAUUAUUGGGCGUAAAGGGCUCGUAGGCGGUUUGUCGCGUCGGGAGUGAAAACUCAGGGCUUAACCCUGAGCCUGCUUCCGAUACGGGCAGACUAGAGGUAUGCAGGGGAGAAUGGAAUUCCUGGUGUAGCGGUGAAAUGCGCAGAUAUCAGGAGGAACACCGGUGGCGAAGGCGGUUCUCUGGGCCUGUACUGACGCUGAGGAGCGAAAGCGUGGGGAGCGAACAGG